GACGAACGCUGGCGGCGUGCCUAAUACAUGCAAGUGGAACGCGUUGAUAACAUCGGAGCUUGCUCCACCGUUAUCAACGAGUCGCGAACGGGUGAGUAACGCGUGGGUAACCUACCUCUUAGCGGGGAACGACGUUUAGAAAUGAACGCUAAUACCGCAUAACAACACGGAACACAUGUUUCAUGUUUAAAAGGAGCAACUGCUCCACUAAGAGAUGGACCUGCGUUGGAUUAGCUAGUUGGUAAGGUAACAGCUUACCAAGGCAAUGAUCCAUAGCCGACCUGAGAGGGUGAUCGGCCACAUUGGGACUGAGACAGGGCCCAAACUCCUACGGGAGGCAGCAGUAGGGAAUCUUCGGCAAUGGACGAAAGUCUGACCGAGCAACGCCGCGUGAGUGAAGAAGGUUUUCGGAUCGUAAAACUCUGUUGUAAGAGAAGAACGGGUGUGAGAGUGGAAAGUUC
rnacentral:rRNA from 1 species